rnacentral:rRNA from 1 species
UACGUACUGUGCGAAUGUUAUUCGGAAUCACUGGGCUUAAAGGGUGCGUAGGCGGCUUUUUAAGUCAGACGUGAAAUAUCACGGCUCAACCGUGGUGCUGCGUUUGAAACUGGAAAGCUUGAGAUGGCUAGGGGUGAGUGGAACUGCACGUGGAGCGGUGAAAUGUGUUGAGAUGUGCAGGAACGCCGGUGGCGAAAGCGACUCACUGGGGCCAGACUGACGCUGAGGCACGAAAGCUAGGGGAGCGAAC